rnacentral:rRNA from 1 species
AGCGCAGACGGUUUAUUAAGUCUGAUGUGAAAGCCCGGAGCUCAACUCCGGAAUGGCAUUGGAAACUGGUUAACUUGAGUGCAGUAGAGGUAAGUGGAACUCCAUGUGUAGCGGUGGAAUGCGUAGAUAUAUGGAAGAACACCAGUGGCGAAGGCGGCUUACUGGACUGCAACUGACGUUGAGGCUGAAAGUGUUGGUAGCAAACA